rnacentral:lncRNA from 1 species
CAUUAUACUUUUACACCAACUUCAUUCUAUCUAAUAGCACCAGAUAGAAUUCAAUGUUAAAAUAAGGUUUCGUUUGAGAUUGCGAGAAGAUUGAGUUAAGUGUGGUGAGAAAAUAUAAUAAGAAAAAAUUCUGUUUAUUUCCGUAUGUUCAAACGAAGCCUUAGUUUGGUAUUGAGAUCUAUCUAUCGUUAUUAGAUAAAAUAAAAUUAAAAUAAAAGCAUAUAAGAAUAUGUUUCUACGUUCUCUGGUGUGACCGAAGAAAAUAUAUCAUAAUCGACUCAUCGCUAUAUGCGAAAUGUAAUAUUACAUACGGAAACAAAUAGAAUAUUUUUUCAUCGUACAUUUUACCGCACAUAACGAAAUUUCUCUACAAUUUCAAACAAAACCGAAGCCGUUAUAGGUGACGCGGAAGUGAUAAGAUAAUAGUAUAAUUAGUGAUACGUCAUAAUUAAGGUGUCACAUCAUAUUUAUAACAAUUUAUAUCAAUGACAUGUUAAUAUUUAUUUAACUAAAUUAAAUUAUAAAAAUUAAUUAUAAUAUUUUUUAUAAAAAGUAUAUUAAAUUAAAAUUUAAGGA